CAGUACAUUACUGUAAAAAUCCACAGUACUAUACUGUAUGUAUACAUUACAGUACAGUACUGCAGUUCAUAAUGCAUUCUGGGUAAAUUUGUUUGAGCGGGAACAUUUUACAGUAUAUUUUGGUCUUGAUGUAACCUUGCUGUAGCCAUUGCUGUAAUGUGCCAGGUGUACUUGCAAUAAUCAGAGAAAGUGCGCCAGAGUCAAAUCACACAGAGGGAGAGAGAGCACAACUCCUGGCUGCAGCUGAAGGAGGACGAUUGAUUUCUGGCAGUUCGUCUUACCAUUGCUUGUAAGCUGGAUUGGGUAAGAUGGAUCAUCUUUAAAGGCACCAGGAGUUAAGGCAGAUGUGGAGGCACAACGGGUGAUACCAGACACACACCAAGCACAUUAUGUUCGGACAUUCAAUCAUGACAGGAUCCAGGUGGAUGCUGUCCAUUGAUGAAAGAGUUUGUUCAGCGGUUUCUGGAUAGAAUUAAUUCCAAAGAUGGGAAAAAGUGCACAUCCAGACAAGGAGCAAGCAAAAAGACAAGGAACUUGGUGCAGAGAAAAGCUGUGGUCAUUAACCCCCAUGUGAACAGCUUCAUGCAGUCCCUGAUUGAGUUCGAAUGGACGACUUCAAAGUAAAGGCCACUGUGGUCUGUCUGCCACAGUUUAAUGCAUUUAUUUUUAGUGUUAAAUGAAAUUUAAGUAGAAUAUUUAAAACUAUGGGCCAGUGUUCUUUUUACCACAGUGAAAUGUUACCUUUUAGUCGAUGAUGGACUUUAAACUGAAAACUUCAAACUAUGGACCAGUGUUCUAUUUGCCAGAGUUAAAUAUGUUACAGCAGGGGUCUCCAAACUUGUUUAUACUUGUUGAUUUUAUUUUAUGUUACUUGAUUAUAUGUUUAUUAUUGUUUAAAAUCUUGUUUUAAAUAUGUUUGUUUCAAUUAAAUGUUUUUUUAAAUAAAAUUUUGAUACAUA